rnacentral:tRNA from 1 species
AGGUAGAAUGGCCGAAAGUUUAKGUGGCGGAUUGUAAUUCUGUUAAUAUGGGGUAAAAUCCUGUUUCUAUC